GUGAGUGAGGUGAGGUGUGAAAAACUAGAAGGAUAGUAAACCCAUAUAAACUCCACAGUCAAAGGCGCUUCAGCGAGAGUAGAACUAGGAUGGUUGACCUCGUGGGAAGUACUCGUGUUGCACCCC
rnacentral:rRNA from 1 species